rnacentral:rRNA from 1 species
CAGUAGCCGCGGUAAUGCGAACCGUGCGAACGUUAUUCGGAUUUACUGGGCGUAAAGGGCGUGUAGGCGGCCUGGGGCGUCCCAUGUGAAAGGCCACGGCUCAACCGUGGAGGAGCGUGGGAUACGCUCAGGCUAGAGGGUGGGAGAGGGUGGUGGAAUUCCCGGAGUAGCGGUGAAAUGCGCAGAUACCGGGAGGAACGCCGAUGGCGAAAGCGGCUCACUGGACCAUUUCUGACGCUGAUGCACGAAAGCUAGGGGAGCAAACAGGAUUAGAUACCCCCGUAGUCCCUGUCUCUUAUAC